GACGAACGCUGGCGGCGUGCCUAAUACAUGCAAGUAGGACGCAGUUGCGAACGGGUGAGUAACGCGUAGGUAACUGCCUAUCAGAGGGGGAGAACUCUUGGAAACGAUAGCUAAUACCGCAUACUAGUAGAUGGACCUGCGUUGUAGUAGCUAGUAGGUAGGGUAAUGGCCUACCUAGGCACAGAUCCAUAGCCGAACUGAGAGGGGGAUCGGCCACACUGGGACUGGGACACGGGCCAGACUCCUAAGGGAGGGAGCAGGAGUGAAGCUUCGGCAAUGGGGGGAACCCGGACCGAGCAACGCCGCGGGAGUGAAGAAGGGUUUCGGAUCAUAAAGCUCUGUUGUUUAGGAAACGGUACUUAACCAGAAAGGGACGGCUAACUACGUGCCAGCAGCCGCGGUAAUUC
rnacentral:rRNA from 1 species